UUUUGUUGCAGUUUGCAAAUGGCGUCUAUGAACGGGGUGUUUCAAGAGAAAAAAAAACUGAAAAUAAUUUUUCUUAACAAUGUCAUUGCCCCACGGCAGGGAAAAUGAAACCCUCCGAGUGUAUUUCUGACAUAAAAAAGUUCCUCAUAAAAAUCCUUCAGCCGUGAAGCGGCUUAGUAUGAACAGUGAGUCCAUCAUCCAGACGUAUACCACGAUUUGGAGAAGCUCGGCCAAAAAUUGCUUCAGCGUAAUGUAAUUAGCUUUUAAGCUUCGUAAAUUUUUUUAUUUAAUCAUCGUCAACAUCUUACAUACAUAUAUUCUAAACAUUUCAAUGUAUGUAUAUUUUAUGUAUUUUAACAACAAACUUAAUUUGGUACAUAAAUUUAAACCUUAGUUUCACUAACGGGUUCUGAUUCUUUUAAAU